rnacentral:rRNA from 1 species
GAUGAACGCUGGCGGCGUGCUUAACACAUGCAAGUCGAACGAUGAAGCUGGAGCUUGCUCUGGUGGAUUAGUGGCGAACGGGUGAGUAACACGUGAGCAACCUGCCCCUGACUCUGGGAUAACAGCCGGAAACGGCUGCUAAUACCGGAUAUGCACCAUGAACGCAUGUUCUGUGGUGGGAAAGAUUUUUCGGUUGGGGAUGGGCUCGCGGCCUAUCAGCUUGUUGGUGAGGUAAUGGCUCACCAAGGCGUCGACGGGUAGCCGGCCUGAGAGGGUGACCGGCCACACUGGGACUGAGACACGGCCCAGACUCCUACGGGAGGCGGCAGUGGGGAAUAUUGCACAAUGGGCGAAAGCCUGAUGCAGCAACGCCGCGUGAGGGAUGACGGCCUUCGGGUUGUAAACCUCUUUUAGCAGGGAAGAAGCGAGAGUGACGGUACCUGCAGAAAAAGCGCCGGCUAACUACGUG